UCUAGUUUAAAAACAGAUAUGUCUGAUUUACCUUAUGAAACUGAACAUCUCUGCAAAAUAUUUUAAAUUCUCAUAAGAGGGAGGAAAGGUUAUUAAUAUGCUAAAGACUAAAUAAUGCUUCUUACUAAAUUGCAAUGGUAUAAAAAUAUCCUGAUAAAAAUGCAAGAAUAUCUUGGACUAUCUUUGACCUCUCAUUUUCUUUUUUCUUAGUUCUAGGAUAAUUUUUCUUAUUUGCAUGUGAAUAACAGCAAAGUGUUUGUUUUAAUAAUUUUUUUCAGCUGUGACUUUGUGUACAGUUUCUUAAUUUAUUUAGAGAAAUAUUAAAACCCUUCCAGCAUUUCUCUGAAAGUAGAUUUCUCUACUAACAAAUCUUUGUUGCGAUCCCACGAGUAACCAGCUUUUAUAGCAUGUCUCACUGUGCCAACAUUUUUUAACCAUCCAUUUUAUUUAAAAUAAUUUUAAAAGCCCUGCCUUUUGGCAGGCAUAUGAAACAAGUAUGCCUUUUUAUUUUUUGUAUAUUUCACGGGAAUCAAAGACAAGUUCUUAGGUAGUUGUGCGAAAAUAAAAAGAUAAUCCUUUCUCUACAUGGUUGAUCUAUGCAUGCAUUAGAUAGGACAUAGUGAUAGGUGCAAUGAACAGAUUUGGGAUAAAUGGGGAGGAUGCAGAAGCCUUAUCCAUGGUAAGCCACAUCUUGAGUCCACUGAAGAAGCAGUGCUUAAAACUGAGAAAUGUAAUAAUUAAAAUUUAUAGAUACAUGCUUUGGAGUUAAUCAGGGGUAGAUAGGUAAGCUUGCUUUUCAAGAUUAGUCCAAAGUCCUUGUUAAAUGGCUUUGAGAAGCUGCACAUCUUUCAGCUUACAUGAGGUAUGUUCUUUCAACAGAUGUCACUUCUAGCAGAGCAGUAAGUGCACCCCCAACAGAGCAGAAGAGGAGAAAGAUUCAUAGAAACAUUCUGUUUUCUCAUGGAUGAUUCUGUUACCUGCUAGUAUCAUGGAGAAAAAAAAAGAUGUCAAAUUGAUAAAUCUUUUUGUCAGUAUUUUUGCUCUAGUAAAAAUAGUUCUAGAUUUCUAAUAGUUCUAGAAAUAUGAUCUGAUUAAACGCUUUGGAAGUUUUGCCAGAUGCUAUUCUCUAAAACCAGCGAUAUUGCUGUUGCGAAGUCUGAAAUGAGUGUACAUAGUGUAUAUUUUGUUUGAGUAGAGAGGGUUUAUCUUUUUUUUUUUUUUAAAUGAAUUUUGUAGCUGGGUAAUUGUUCAGCAGGACUGAAUGCGGACCUCUUUGCUGGCCUUGCAUUUAUAAGCAAACAGUUAUCUAGGGGAGGUAUAAAAAUGACAAAGUGACCUUGGGAAAUGGUAUCCUAUUGAAAAGCCCUUAGUAGAAUGUAAACCACUUAUUUCUGAAGUAGUAAACUCUUACUUGGCCUCAACUAGCACUUAAUUAGUUGUGUGGGUUUUUUUUUCCUCAAUAUUAUAGUACUUUCCUGUUAUUUAGAGAGCUUUCUAGUAUACACAUAUUUUUGUAACAUCAAUAGGGUUCCUUUGUAUUGCAUAGAUCAUUUGGGAUAAUGUCCAAGAUGUGAUUCAUUGUAAUGUUGUAAGGAGUUAUAAAAUAUUCCCAGACUCAUCUGGAUUAUUUAAUCAUGGUGAGAUGAUCUGGUUGGAUUUCCUUUUUAGAAGAAUUUUGCAGACACUGUCAGGUAAUUUAAGAUCUCCUGUACUUCUUUAAUUAUUUCUUGGUGAGACAUUAAAAAGUUUACCUUAA